GAUGAACGCUGGCGGCGUGCCUAAUACAUGCCAGUCGAGCGAACGGACGAGAAGCUUGCUUCUCUGAUGUUAGCGGCGGACGGGUGAGUAACACGUGGAUAACCUACCUAUAAGACUGGGAUAACUUCGGGAAACCGGAGCUAAUACCGGAUAAUAUUUUGAACCGCAUGGUUCAAAAGUGAAAGACGGUCUUGCUGUCACUUAUAGAUGGAUCCGCGCUGCAUUAGCUAGUUGGUAAGGUAACGGCUUACCAAGGCAACGAUGCAUAGCCGACCUGAGAGGGUGAUCGGCCACACUGGAACUGAGACACGGUCCAGACUCCUACGGGAGGCAGCAGUAGGGAAUCUUCCGCAAUGGGCGAAAGCCUGACGGAGCAACGCCGCGUGAGUGAUGAAGGUCUUCGGAUCGUAAAACUCUGUUGUUAGGGAAGAACAUAUGUGUAAGUAACUGUGCACAUCUUGACGGUACCUAAUCAGAAAGCCACGGCUAACUACGUG
rnacentral:rRNA from 1 species